CAUACCCAGCAGUUCUUCCCUCACGCUGUCAACCUCACCUCACCUUGCAAAGCCUUGACACUAAAGAAGAAGAUAUUGUCCUUCUAGUGGAAGAGUUGAAACAUGCUUCUCUCCAGCCUUCUGAAGGUGGUCGUGGCUUCACUGUGUUUCGGAUCCAGUAUUACCCAGAAAGUAACUCAAGACCAACCACCAAUGUCAGUGCAGGAGAAAGAAACGGUGACCCUGGAUUGCACAUACGACACCAGUGUUACAACUUACAGUCUGUUCUGGUACAAGCAACACAGCAGUGGGGCGAUGACCUUCCUCACUCGCCAGGACGCUCAUAACAAGCAAAAUGCCACAGAAGGCCGCUACUCAUUGAAUUUCCAGAAGGCAAGCAAAUUCAUCAAACUUACCAUCUCAGCCUCACAGCUGGAGGACUCUGCAGUGUAUUUCUGUGCACUGAGGGAGCCCACAGUGAGAGGCGUGCAGGAGGGUCCUGAACCAAAACCCAGAGUUCUAAUGGUACACCCACCUGCGGUAGGGACCAGGGUGGGGAAUUGCCUUCACAGACAGGAAGUGGUUAGUACUGCAGCAGCACAGGUGUAGGUUUAGAGGGGAAACACUCACUCUAAGAAAGUAUUUCUCUAGGUUCAUAGAACAUGUCUAGAGCUAUCACUCAUCAAAAACAUUCUUAUCCCUGAAAAUUUGGAUUUAAAUUUCUUAUCGAAGACAAAUAUAACCACCAAAAUCUUUACUGUAUGGUGAUUAGAUAAAACUAGAAGAAUUGA